rnacentral:lncRNA from 1 species
GAGCUUGUUUUGCACACGAACCGGGACGGGAUAGGACAUAUAAUGAGUCCCAGCAGCUACUACGAAUGCCUAAAGUUCCCUUCCCGCGCACCGUCCCCUCCCCGCUGCCGGCCUGGCCUCCGCUUCCUUAUUGGUUCACCCGGGGUUUCUCCGUCACGUGAGAAAAACGUUCCUAAGCUCGAUGUCACGUGAUCUAGUCGGUUCAUUGGGUGUGGCCCGGGUCACGUGACUGCGAAGGGCGAGCCCCUGUGUCCUUCCUCAGGAUCCUUCACUGACCUUCGUAAAUACAUGGAAAGAUGAGAAGGUUCUGGGACAGAAAAGGGUGGAAAGAUGGACUUGUCAGAAGGAGGGGCAGAAGCAGAAGCACAAUGGGGGCUCCUCUCCCUCUCCGAGUGCUUCUUUCCUAGAGCCUCCGGGGAGGAGACGGCUUUCCCUUUCCACAUCCAAGGCAACCUGCAUACAACGCAGAGGUGUCCAGUUCUCUGUAAGACUGGGAGUUAGCGGAUUACCAGCAUCCUUUCCUCCUCACUUGCUCACGUCUUCGGUGGAUUCUGGCUGCUUCAUUUCCCAAACAGAUGGCAAAGUGGCCCUCCUUCUGUCUCCACUGUCCUCCUUUCACUGUCCAGACACAGUCCUCAGUGAUCUGACCCACCGGUGGGCUUAACUCUCCUGGCAAAGUCCAGUCUCUUGAUCUGGAACUUUGAGGAUCCAGGUCCCACAGAGGUCUUCACUGUCUCCUACCCCACAUGAUCACCUAUCUCCAUAGCCCUGCCAGGCUCUUAGCGGCCACUCUGGCUGCUUCCAAGGCUGUAGCCUGCUUCUCCCAUGCUGACUUCUCUUCCUGGGCUCAACAGCAAAGGUUCCCUCAGCAGAGAAAACCCUAGGCUUUGAGCCAUGGUGUGUCCCAGUUUCCUCUGUGUUUAAUAUUUGUGCUUCCUGCUGUUGUGGCUGCUGCAUGUGGGCAGGAACUGCUUCUGUUUUGUUUAUUGCUCUGUGUACUUCCCACCCAGCCUAGGAUCAAUAAAUAGGUGUUGAGCCAGGUAUGGUGGCUCA